GUUGUGGCAGUCAACAUCUGGACAAGAACUAAAGGGACAAAAACACAGAUGGAUGAAAACACAAAACACUUCCUCUCUCAGUGGCAGAAACAUGUAACAGUAGCUGACGGUGCGUUCAGGUGCUGUCAGGUUAUUUCUUAUCUCCUUGUGUUAAAUGUGGGUCAGUGAUGUGAAAGCUGUCAGUUAA